GUAGGUUGCGAGCGUUGUCCGGAUUUACUGGGCGUAAAGCGCGCGCAGGCGGUCUUGAAAGUCGAAUGUGAAAGCUCCCGGCCCAACUGGGAGAGGCCGUUCGAAACUUCGAGACUUGAAGGCGGGAGAGGCAGAUGGAAUUUCCGGUGUAGCGGUAAAAUGCGUAGAUACCGGAAGGAACACCAGUGGCGAAAGCGAUCUGCUGGCCCGCCCUUGACGCUCAGGCGCGAAAGCUAGGGGAGCGACCGGGAUUAGAUACCCCGUUAGUCCUAGCCGUAAACAAUGGGCACUAGGUGUUGUCGGUAUCGACCCCGGCAGUGCCGAAGCUAACGCAUUAAGUGCCCCGCCUGGGGAGUACGACCGCAAGGUUA
rnacentral:rRNA from 1 species